rnacentral:lncRNA from 1 species
UACCGACAAGAAACCAUAGUACAGCCAAAGUGGACAUUUUUAAAGGUUCCCUUCCUCAGCAUGUUAUGUUGGAUAAAGUUAGGAGAAUAAUUGGCAGGCUUUACAAAGUCAAAAUACCUGUUGCCUGUAAUAACUCUGUUUUCAGUGUAAUUAGGAAUGAUAAAGAGAUCCGCCCCAUACCUGAAAGGACAGGAGUGUACAAGAUCCCUUUAAUUAACAUGCAAGAUGGUGUGCAGAAGGUAUACAUUGGUAUCACUGCAAACAAUUAAGGGAGAGACUUAGGCAACAUCUCCAUGAUAUUACAUCUGGGAAGGCAUCUACUGCACUCAGCGACAUGGCGCUUCAGAAAAACAUCAAUGUCCUGUGG